rnacentral:lncRNA from 1 species
AAGAAGUUUUGUAUAUUUAAAUACCAGCUAUGAUUUCUCAGCAGUCUCUGAUGUUGCCUGUUGAAGUUCAAAUGGAUUGCUUUCCAAAACAAGAGCCCAAUUAUUCCUUUGCACAAAUGCAAGAUUUUCUAAACGUCACCUGUGAACCAAUAGAAGAACAUUUCCCUUUGAAAGAUCUCAAAGAAGUCACCUCUGCUGAUAAACACAUGGCUGAGUUGGAGGUCCUGCAAAUGCCUGAAAGCAGCUUUGCUAACAUCACCUUCAAGGAGCCAAAAUCUCCAGAACCACAGGCAGCUAAGCCAUUGCUCCACAUUCAGUCACUCCCAGAGCUUCUCACACUGCUGAAGGUGGAGCUGGAACAGGUUGUAGAACCCAAAGACAAUAUGGGCCAAUUUCACUUCACCAACAGUACAGUGAUGCUUCCUGAAAACAUCUUCAGAAAUCUCUCCAUCUACACGGAGAAAAUGUCCACAGAAGAAUGUAAGAGAGGUGUGAGAGAGCCACACAUGGAUGAAAUGUUCUCACCACUGUCUAUUGUGAAAAUAGAUGGUAAGACAGUAUGCGAUAUUUAUCUCUUAAAAAA